CCCUCCCCUGCUCCGCCCGCCGCCGAGGCCCCGCUGAGGCCGGGGGAGGGGCAGAGAGCGGAGGGGUGGGAAGUGGAGGGGAAGGCGGAGGAGUGGCAGCCAGAGGCUGGAGGGAGGGACGUGCAGGCUUUUGUCGCGCAGCGGCCUCUCUCCACUCCCGCCCCGGCCCGCAGCCUGCAGCGGUGAAGCCCAGCCUGGCCAAACUGGGCGUAGCGCUCACCCCCUCCCACUGGCACAUCCUCUCAGCCACGUCCGCGCACCCCGCCGCCGACUCCCGCCUUGGCCCAGCCACCUUUCUCCUUCCCGGGGCCCCAUCCGGGCACUGCCGGCGCUCUUGCUCGCCUAGCACUGGUCAGCAAAGGCCUCCUGCAGUCGGGCCAGGUCCGAUCCACCUGGAGAACAUACGGAUCGGGCACCCCUCAUCACCCUGAAGAUAGCAGCCCAGGUCGCAUGCGGUGUCCAGGGCAGACACCGCAGGGAGAUGGAGGGCAGUGUGGAGACACCUGCAGAGUUGCCUGGGCAUCCCACUUCUACAGUCCUCUGUCCGCCUGUACUCCAGGCUGAGGCUGCCCGUGUGGCUUCCCGUCCGGUCUCCUGCUCCUGGUGCCUGGGCUGCCAAGCAUCUACCCGGAAUCUGAGCGUUUCGGUUUGAAGCUGUGGGAGGCCCCGUGGUGAGGCUUCUGUCCAAGUCCACAGAGAAGAUUUCAGGCCGUGUUAGGAACAUCAUGUCCGUUAACGUCUGGAACACGCCAGUAUGUAUAUGUGUCACAUGUACAGUGUCAGAGGAGGUCAAGAGAAGGACAUAGAUUCCCUAGAUCUGAAGUCACAGAUGGUCAUGAGUCAUUAUGUAGGUGCUGAAGAUGGAACCUGUGUCCUUUGAAAGAACAGCAAGUGUUCUUAACUGCUGGUCCA
rnacentral:lncRNA from 1 species